rnacentral:lncRNA from 1 species
AUUUACCAGCGUGUUCAGAAUCCAGCACAGGACCAGGAUGUUGAAGGACCUGAUGUAUCUGGGAGCAUGUAGUUUAAGCUGUGCCCACCUGAAUUCGCUGGGGCUGAUGGUGAUGACCUGGAAGACACUCAGGAGGCAGGCAUUGCCAACGCACACAGCCCUGCCCACUCUGUGAACAUAAAACACAAGUUUGCAUCCAAUAUCACUGAGGGAAUCUUUCGACCCAAAAGCAGCCAUUGUUUGUGGGAUUCCUUUAGAGUAUAACCUAGGAGUUGGCUAUGGUCAGGUGCUUGAGAAUCAGAUCUGUGGACCAUAACAUACCUCUGGUGAAACAAAGGAAACUAUAGUGGUAAAGAAGAAAGAAAUUCCCCAGGAAUCCAACUAUGAUCUGAGAUAAGAAGAUCAUGCCUAUUGAAAAAUCCCUGGAGGCCAUUUGUCAUUUUUCAGUGUCUGAUAAUUACAUUCAAAGUGAGAGAACCCUGCGUGGAAACAUAAACUCUGUUUCACUUUUGCAAAUAAAAUCCACUAUUGUCCACUUAC